rnacentral:SRP_RNA from 1 species
GACUCGGGUCCGUGCGGACCAGACGCCUAAACUGUGUCAGGAUCAGACGAUAGCAGCACCACAGGAUGCUCUGAUCAGGCGCGUCUACCCGGGUCGCC